GGGUCAGUAGGUUGGUCGUGCCACCGGUACGUACUGGUCUCACUGAUUCCUCCUUCCUGAAGAACCGUAAUGCCACUAAUUUGGUGUUGCGGGGAAACAGGACUGUUACUUUGAAAAAAUUAGAGUGUUUAAAGCAAGCUAACGCUUGAAUACAUUAGCAUGGAAUAAUGGAAUAGGACGAUCGAUCCUAUUUUGUUGGUUUCUAGGAUUGACGUA
rnacentral:rRNA from 1 species